AACACUAUAAAUAGUUCGGGCGCUAAAAAGGCUUAAUAGGGAAUCCUGUUAAAUUCAGGAGCGGUCCCGCCGCUGUAAUCUCGAUUCCGCCCAGAUGGUCGGAAUUAAAGCCUUUGCCGGUAAUACGCCACUGUCCCGAUAAUAUCGGGAUGGGAAGGCUGGCAAAGGUUGGGAGAGCCAGAAGACCUGCCUGUGAACAACAAUGAUU
rnacentral:ncRNA from 2 species